GGGCCCGUAGCUCAGGUGGGAGAGCGCGUGAAUGGCAUUCACGAGGUCAGGGGUUCAAAUCCCCUCGGGUCCAC
rnacentral:tRNA from 1 species